rnacentral:rRNA from 1 species
UCCGUGCCAGCAGCCGCGGUAAUACGGAGGGUGCAAGCGUUAUUCGGAAUUAUUGGGCGUAAAGAGCGCGUAGGCGGCUAUAUAAGUUAGAUGUGAAAUCCCAAGGCUUAACCUUGGAAGUGCAUUUGAAACUAUACAGCUUGAGUAUGAUAGAGGGAAGUGGAAUUCCUGGUGUAGAGGUGAAAUUCGUAGAUAUCAGGAGGAAC